GCCCGAUGAACCUGAAUAUCCGUUAUGGAAAAUUCAUCAUUAAAAUUGUAAUAUUUAAAUAAUAUUAUUAAGAAUAAUGUGCAUUUUUUCCAUAUAAGGACAUUGUAAUCUAUUAGCAUAUCCCAAAUUUAUCAUAAAAUAUAACUUAUAGUUUAUUCCAAUUAAAUUGCUUGCAUUUUAACACAGAAUAAAUGUUAUUAAUUUGAUAAAGUGCUGAUAGAUUUAUAUUAUUACAGAGCGUUAAUUUUUCGGAAUUAUAUAAUGGCAUAAUUAUCAUUGAUUUUUGUGUUUAUUAUAUGCUCUUGUAUGAUUAACAAUGCGAAAGAUUCAGGAUACUUCGGG
rnacentral:rRNA from 3 species